rnacentral:rRNA from 1 species
UACGGAGGGGGCGAGCGUUAUUCGGAUUUAUUGGGCGUAAAGGGCGCGCAGGCGGCUACGCACGUCCGUUGUGAAAUCGCUCGGCUCAACUGGGCGGGGUCAGCGGAUACGGCGUGGCUGGAGCAAGCUAGGGGGCAAUGGAAUUCCCGGUGUAGUGGUGGAAUGCGUAGAUAUCGGGAGGAACCCCAGGAGCGAAGGCGGCGUCCUGGCUCGCAUCUGACGCUCAGACACGACAGCAUGGGGAGCGAACGGG